rnacentral:rRNA from 1 species
GGAUUAGAUACCCUGGUAGUCCUAGCCGUAAACGUUGUCAACUAGGUGGUUGCUGUAUCCAUUCAGUGACUAUCCAAGCUAACGUCAUAAGUUGACCGCCUGGGGAGUAUGCGCGCAAGCGUGAAACUCAAAGGAAUUGACGGGGGCCCGCACAAGCGGUGGAGCAUGUGGUUUAAUUCGAUGAUACGCGAGGAACCUUACCUGGGUUUGACAUGGAUCGGAUCGCCAGUGAAAGUUGGUUUCCCUUCGGGGCUGAUUCACAGGUGCUGCAUGGCUGUCGUCAGCUCGUGCCG